rnacentral:sRNA from 1 species
UCCGGAACCGGGACGUGGCGG